rnacentral:tRNA from 1 species
GGCGAUGUAGCUCAGUGGUAGAGCAGCGGACUCAUACCCCGCAAGUCAUGGGUUCGAAUCCCAUCAUCGCCA